CUGUGUGCCCUCACGAAUAAGACUUUGCUUUCCAAAUAAUUUAUAAAUAUUUGAGUUUUCCAGUGCAUGUAAAAUUAUUUUGUGUAUCAAUAGUCACAUAAAGUGUCGAUAUCCAUGCAUAAUUUUAAAGCAAGUUAAAACCAAAUACAUUUUGUCCGAACAAGGGUUUUAAUGUGGUGUGACAGCAUAAUGUACACUUUAAACUGGCAAUAAUAUGGAAAUUCUGAAGAUGAAAAGGACCAAUACCAACUGGUUAGUUACAGUAGUAUCUCUGGAGGGAUUUGCAAAGUCAUCAGGCUAAACCCGAUGAAGUCCUUGCUGAAAGGAAGUGGCUGUUGCCCCAAUGAGCAUCAAACAAUUUUGGUGUUGUUUAAUGUUUCAACUAACUACUGAAAUAACAGCUCUGCAGGAGGAGAGAGUGCACACUUCCAGGUUUGGAUGCAUUUUCCCUCAAACUCCCAGGGAUCUUCACCAUCAUGUCCAGCCGUGGUCUGCUCCACUAUCUCCUCAUCUUAUUUUACAUUUUUAAAUUAUAUUAAAUAGCUCAUGAUUAGACAGUCAAGGUAUCAACUUCCUGUACUUGCUGGUUGAUUAUUUGGUUUUUGUUUUUUUUUGUUAUUCCAAUAAAGA